AGGCUGUUGAUUGGGGCUAAGUCGUAACAAGGUAGCCGUAUCGGAAGGUGCGGCUGGAUCACCUCCUUU
rnacentral:rRNA from 1 species